UACGUAGGGUGCGAGCGUUGUCCGGAAUUAUUGGGCGUAAAGGGCUCGUAGGCGGUUUGUCGCGUCGGGAGUGAAAUCUCCACGCUUAACGUGGAGCGUGCGGUCGAUACGGGCAGACUUGAGUUCGGCAGGGGAGACUGGAAUUCCUGGUGUAGCGGUGAAAUGCGCAGAUAUCAGGAGGAACACCGGUGGCGAAGGCGGUUCUCUGGGCAUGUCCUGACGCUGAGGAGCGAAAGUGUGGGGAGCGAACAGG
rnacentral:rRNA from 1 species